rnacentral:rRNA from 1 species
GACAGAGGGUGCAAACGUUGUUCGGAUUUACUGGGCGUAAAGCGUGUGUAGGCGGCUUUGCAAGUCGGAUGUGAAAGCCCCGGGCUCAACCCGGGAAGUGCACUCGAUACUGCAGAGCUUGAGUAUCGGAGAGGUUAGUGGAAUUCUCGGUGUAGAGGUGAAAUUCGUAGAUAUCGAGAGGAACAUCGGCGGCGAAGGCGGCCAACUGGACGAAUACUGACGCUGAGACACGAAAGCGUGGGGAGCAAACAGG